ACCUCUGUGGUCGAAUGGGUAAGAGCUCGGACUCCAAACCUGGAGGACCUGGGUUCGAAUCCCGACCGAGGCG
rnacentral:tRNA from 1 species